GACGAACGCUGGCGGCGUGCUUAACACAUGCAAGUCGAACGAUGAAGAAGAGAAACGCGAACUUCGGUUCAAAUUUCACUUCGGAUUAGUGGCAGACGGGUGAGUAACGCGUGAGCAACCUACCUCUUACAAAGGGAUAGCCUCGGGAAACCGUGAUUAAUACCAUAUGACACAUUCAUAAGGCAUCUUAAGAAUGUUAAAGCUACGGCGGUAAGAGAUGGGCUCGCGUCCCAUUAGCUAGUUGGUGAGGUAACGGCCCACCAAGGCGACGAUGGGUAACCGGCCUGAGAGGGUGAACGGUCACAUUGGAACUGAGACACGGUCCAAACUCCUACGGGAGGCAGCAGUGGGGAAUAUUACACAAUGGAGGGAACUCUGAUGCAGCGACGCCGCGUGAGCGAUGAAGGAAUUCGUUUCGUAAAGCUCUGUUCUAUGGGAAGAAAAGGACUGUACCAUAGGAGAAAGCCCCGGCUAAAUACGUG
rnacentral:rRNA from 1 species